GAUGAACGCUGGCGGCGUGCCUAAUACAUGCAAGUCGAGCGAACAGACGAGGAGCUUGCUCCUCUGACGUUAGCGGCGGACGGGUGAGUAACACGUGGAUAACCUACCUAUAAGACUGGGAUAACUUCGGGAAAACGGAGCUAAUACCGGAUAAUAUAUUGAACCGCAUGGUUCCAUAGUGAAAGACGGGUUUGCUGUCACUUAUAGAUGGAUCCGCGCCGCAUUAGCUAGUUGGUAAGGUAACGGCUUACCAAGGCAACGAUGCGUAGCCGACCUGAGAGGGUGAUCGGCCACACUGGAACUGAGACACGGUCCAGACUCCUACGGGAGGCAGCAGUAGGGAAUCUUCCGCAAUGGGCGAAAGCCUGACGGAGCAACGCCGCGUGAGUGAUGAAGGUCUUCGGAUCGUAAAACUCUGUUAUUAGGGAAGAACAAAUGUGUAAGUAACUAUGCACGUCUUGACGGUACCUAAUCAGAAAGCCACGGCUAACUACGUG
rnacentral:rRNA from 1 species